UCUAAAGCAAACAUAUAUAUAUAUAUAUAUAUAUUGUAAAUGGAAGAUGGAAUAUACGAGAAUUUAUUGAUAAUCACGACAAUUGUUUCGACACAUCUAGCAUCAAUCCCUCACGAGUGGGACACUCAGCAACUGGUUCUGUAGUAUCCAGUGGUGCAGAUGUAUCUCGUUGGAUAAUAAAUACA